rnacentral:sRNA from 1 species
AGUUACCCGCGUGAGGGGUUGCAGUGGAGCUCUCCCGAUUUUUCAUCGGGAAGCGGGAACGUAAAACCCGACCCUGA